CCUANGGGAGGCAGCAGUAAGGAAUAUUGGUCAAUGGACGAAAGUCUGAACCAGCCAUCCCGCGUGCAGGAUGAAGGUCCUAUGGAUUGUAAACUGCUUUUAGCAGAGACGAAACGCUUCCAUUUAUGGGAGUCUGACGGUAUCUGCGGAAUAAGCACCGGCUAACUCCGUGCCAGCAGCCGCGGUAAUACGGAGGGUGCAAGCGUUAUCCGGAAUCACUGGGUUUAAAGGGUGCGUAGGCGGAAAUUUAAGUCAGUGGUGAAAUCCUGUCGCUUAACGAUAGAACUGCCAUUGAUACUGAAUUUCUUGAAUUGGGUUGAGGUUAGCGGAAUGUGACAUGUAGCGGUGAAAUGCAUAGAUAUGUCAUGGAACACCAAUUGCGAAGGCAGCUAACUGGGCCUUGAUUGACGCUGAGGCACGAAAGCGUGGGUAGCGAACAGGAUUAGAUACCCGGNUANUC
rnacentral:rRNA from 1 species